rnacentral:lncRNA from 1 species
CUGUCCCAUGGAACGCUUGGCUUUGACCACGGUGCUUAGCUUUUAUAAAUCAGAUUAUUUUCCUUCUGCCUUUAAAAAAAAAAAACACAAAAAACCCAGCUUUGGUCUCUGACUCACAGGCUCAAAACAGACUGCGCUGGUUACAGAGGUUGGGAAUUUCAGCAGUGGCACAGGCUGGAACUGUUCUCCAAUAGGAAAUCGAAGACCGGGAGACAAAGGAGGGGAGGUGGAGCGGGGAGGGCCGGCAGAGCAGGAAAUAGUGGCGGAGAUAAUGUUCAGCUGGGGAAGGAGCUGGCUCCCGGGUGCCCCCCAACAACCGAAAGGUUGCUCAGACCCAGGAUGCUGCUUCCUGGAGGAGCCAGAUACUCAGCCGCUGGCUCUGAGAGGGAGAGGGGACCAUCCACGACGGGCGCAGAGAGCCAUAUGCGGGGCUGCAGCCGAGGGACAUGCACCUCGCACCACCCUGUGAGCUGACAUGCGACCCUGAGACGUUCACGUGAUGUACAAACAGCGACCCCUGUUGGACGACGACGGUGUUGGCAGGAAGAGUCUUGGGGGCCGUCUUGGCCCCUUUGAGCUGCUUACGGAAUACCACAGACUGGGUGGCUGACAAAUAACAGAAGUUUAUUCCUGACAGUUUUGGAGGCUGGAGGUUCAAACUCAAGAUGCUAGCAGAUUCAGGGUCUGGUGAGUGCCCGUGUGCUGAUUCGUAGACUAACUUUAAACUCACAUGGUUGGGGGAUAGGGGGCAAGAAAUCUCUCCUGGACCUCAUUUAAAAACGGUAUUACUCCCUGAAGGCCCACCUCCUAAUAGCAUCACAGUGGGCAUUAG